GAAAAUUUAGUUAAAAUAUAACAUUAGUUUGUCAAUCUAAAAUUAUUUAAUAAAAAUAAUUUUCU
rnacentral:tRNA from 1 species